rnacentral:rRNA from 1 species
GACGAACCGUGCGAACGUUGUUCGGAUUCACUGGGCUUAAAGGGCGCGUAGGCGGCUCGUCAAGUCAGGGGUGAAAUCUUUCGGCUCAACCGGAAACGUGCCCCUGAUACUGGCGGGCUGGAGGGAGGUAGGGGCAGACGGAACUUCCGGUGGAGCGGUGAAAUGCGUAGAUAUCGGAAGGAACGCCGGUGGCGAAAGCGGUCUGCUGGACCUCUUCUGACGCUGAUGCGCGAAAGCCAGGGGAGCAAACGGG